GACGAACGCUGGCGGCGUGCUUAACACAUGCAAGUCGAGCGAGAAAGCCCCUUCGGGGGUGAGUACAGCGGCGAACGGGUGAGUAACACGUGGGCAACCUGCCCAGGGGAGCGGGACAACUCGGGGAAACCCGGGCUAAUACCGCAUGAUCCGUCGCGGCCCAAGUCGCGACGGCAAAGGUAGCUUCGGCCUCCGCCCUUGGAUGGGCCCGCGGCGCAUUAGCUUGUUGGUGGGGUAAUGGCCCACCAAGGCGACGAUGCGUAGCUGGUCUGAGAGGACGAUCAGCCACACUGGGACUGAGACACGGCCCAGACUCCUACGGGAGGCAGCAGUGGGGAAUCUUGCGCAAUGGGCGAAAGCCUGACGCAGCAACGCCGCGUGAGGGAAGAAGGCUCUCGGGUCGUAAAGCUCUGUGGAGAAGGACGAACCAGCCUGUGGCUAACAUCCAUGGGCCUUGACGGUACUUCUUUAGCAAGCACCGGCUAACUCUGUGCCAGCCGCCGCGGUAACAC
rnacentral:rRNA from 1 species